rnacentral:lncRNA from 1 species
CAAAGGAGUAGGUCCGGUAAGACCCCCUUUUGGCCCCAAAAUAUAACAGUUUUACAAAAUUGUUAAAAUGUAAACUUUUAGUUAUUUAUUGGACAGUUGAAUGCUUCUGCUACAUAAAUAUGGGCUGUUUUUGACAAUACAAUGCACAUAUAUCGAGUUGUAGCACCAUUAAGUCAUGCUAAAUUACUGAAAUCUUCAAAAUUCUAUCAUUUUAGUUAAAUUUUAGACGGUUUCCUUGUAAAACGAAAGUGGCCGCAUUCGUGUUCAUCCUUAAUAUUGAAAUGUAAGUUUUAUUUUAUGAUAAUACAUAACAUAUAUAAAGGUUGUGGAUGAACACGGAUGCGGCCACUUUCAUUUUUGACAAAAACCAUCUGAAAAGUGACGUUUUUUGGCAUAUUUGAGAGAUUUUUCAUAUUUGAGCUUGAAUCGGAUCGUUUUUAAUGACUAAAUCAGUUAAAAUCUUUCACUUAUACUAAUUAAAUCAAGUGAAAUAGACACUUAAGUCUUUAAAAAGUGGUCAAAAUCUUUCGUCAGAUGAAACUGAAAUUUGAGGCCAAAAUGAGUCCUUACCGGACCUACUCCUUUAAUUUCAUGAGACUGACUACACAUACAUGAAAAAAUUAAAAGAUGUUGGCUGAUGAGACAACUCUCCAGAAGACAACCAAAUGUUAUUUUGAGACAAUAAUCACGUUGUAAACGGUUUAUCAAAAUAUAUACAAUAUAGUAACGAAACUAAUCAUUUGUUAACAGAUUACACUAACCUGGAGUCAUGCGCUCCAGUGGGAGUAUGCAUGUGUAAUUUUGAUACUUAGAACAAACACGUCAAAUGUGUUCGCUUAUUUGUCAUCAG